rnacentral:lncRNA from 1 species
CUUACAUCAUCCUUUUAAAAUAAACUUAGUGAGCUAGAACUCCGAUACCCACCCCUGUCCAUUAGCAUAUCAUCACACUCCCUGUCUCCUUAAUCCACUCUUCCCAUGCAGCCGUUUAUCGUUCUUCCUUUUUAGGUUUUUGAAAUGGAGGCAGUGUGGGAGGGUGAGUGUUGAUAAUGGUGCGAAACAGAAAACAUCCUCAAGGUCCAUGGGGAGAUGGGUUGAUUGGGGUGUCAUGGCCUCCAUGAAACACUCUCUGGAGAGUUAUAGACAGGGAGCCCAACUCACUCGCUUGGAGAGGGGACCCAGAACACCAUCAAGCUAAAACAUGAGGUACCUGAGUGUGGAGAAGGAAGUGUCAUAUGUGUGUGGAGGUCAGAAGACAACUUUUUGGAGUUGGUUCUCCUACCAUGUGGUCCUGGGGAUUAAACUCAGUCAUCAGACUUGGCAGUUAGCACUUUUACCUGUGGAACAUCAUCUCACCGAGGUCCCUGGAGAGAAGGGCACUCUGCACCACUGGGGACUGGACAAUGCCUAUCAAUGGAUAAAGCUCCAACUGGAAUCUGCAGGGCACAUUUCACUUCCCACAUACUUACCACAAACCAGCUGCCCCGGGAGCCUCUGACUCUGUCUUCUCCAUAACUACUGCCCAGAGUGUUCUAUGUGUCCCAGGUUUCACCCCUUUUGUGGUUUCUACUUCUUUGCAUUCAUACAAAAAAUACGAUUUUUCUGAUAUUAAUCUUUUUCUCUGCCUGAUUCUUGGUCUCUGACUACUGAAUCUAAAACAGCAGACAGUAAAAAGGGAAAGGGCCUUUUGCAAAUAAAACAAAAGAAAAACCCUCCCUCUCCUGCAUAGUCAUGUGUUAACAUUUUAGAAAAUGCAUGAACAUCUGAACAAGAAAAUGUAAAUUACCUAUAAACGGCCUGUCUGCUCUGGAGA